UGGUAUAGCUUUAAAUAAGAAACUUGAGGCAGUUUACAUGGUUUUAAUGCCCCCUAGUGGCUUAGUUAGUAACAGCAUAGCCUCAAUUCAAACUUGUUUAGUUGUUAACUGACCAUCCAGCAGUGCAGUCAGUCAUUGUUUUCUCCCGGUGAAAUCUUGGCCCACAUAUGCCUUGUUGAGUCAUCUUCUCACAGAGGACGGAUGGACAGAAAUUUGUUUUAUAUGAACCUGGAGCACAUGAUUUACAUCUUCUAAAUGACAGUGAGCAAAGGGGAAAGCAGAGGAGCUCUCCUUUCAGCCUCUGAAUGAAUGAAAAACAGCAGGCUUGGAUUAUCUUGGCCGCCAUCAGCGGCGGGACAGAAGAGCAAGAGAGGGAGUUGAGGCUGAGGCCAAGACCUUGUAUCUCCAAAUUGGUACCAUUACAGAAGAAGGAAAAUAAGGUUUGGACGUAGAACCGUGACUGAAGUUCCUCCUCCUUCCAGUCUAACAUUUGAUAAAUGUCCAUAUCAUACCUAACUUUCUGUUUCCCAUGAUAAUUUUUUUUAUCUUCUCUUUUGCUCACAGCAGUAGCCAACUCAAAGUUCUUCCCAUUUCUCCAAUCACUCCCUUCUUAUACUACAACCAUUUGUUGAAGGCAUGCUCAAUAUUCUACAAUGGAUUACAAAUAAAGGAUUUCAAUUAGUUUCACUGUGAAAUCUAAUAAGCUGAUUUUACUUUAAAAAAGAAUGCAAACAGAUUGCCUAAAAAUUUUUAGUUGACAUUAGUUGAAUGAAUCAAACUAAAAAUUAAAUAUAGUUGCUUGUAUUUAAUACUUUGAAUAAGGACCAGCUACUUUCAUAGAUUUUUAAUAACUGAAACAUUAACAGACACCCCCUUUUUUAACAGCAUAAUUCAGCAUAAAACAGCAUUAGUGCAUGAUUGGGCACUGUGGCCUUUAGCCAACAUAAAGUCACUUAUGGCAGCACAGAAAGUGUUAACUUGCUCUAAUAGCCUACAACACUGAGACCAGGCAGGCAAACAUUACAUAAGAAAAAACAUGGGUAUAAAGCACAGGAGAUCGAUUUUGUUACUGUAUUAAGUAAUCCCUUGAGUUUUCUUCACUGAAAGUUUCUUUAUAGUGUUUUGAACUGAGGGUGCUCACUCAUCUCUCGAGGGCCUUGACAAGAGCAUGUGAUGAUUUAUCUGACCACAGAAAAGUCCAUCCAGUUCAUUAGCAACCUUUAAACCGUCAUCACCAAGAGACCCUCAAGCCACUAGACUGGUCAGUCUCGGGGGAAAUCUUCCCGACAUCCCGAAGGAAACAGCAUGGCUCUCUGUAAACACACUGGCUGCGCCUUCAUGUGGCGAAGGGGUAAAAGUUCGGAGAGAAACCUCAGCACACCAGCGCUUCAGAAUCCCCCUCCUCCCCUGGAGACGGAGUUCAUUUGUGGCUGCCCUUUGUGGUGAGGGGGCUUCACUUCGGGUUUCACCAAAAGUGGAGGGGAAUUCAUGAACACUCUGUGCUGCAAAACACACUAAGGAUCUGGCCUGGGUGAGGUUCCAUUCGAGGUCUGUGAAUUCUAAGGCUCAGCACGAAUUAAGAGGUAUGACAGCUUGUUACCAUAUAUGCAGCUUGGCAGUGUGGAAUUAUGCCCCAACAAAGAUGUUGCCAUUAACUAAACGGCAAACGGAGAACAGUGAGGUACAGUAUCGUGAUCACAACCCUUGCAUUUACUUUCAUGUCUGCUUUUUGGUAGCCAAGUUGGAUUCAAUUAGGUCUUGGCACUUCAUAUGAGGUUUUGGCACUAAAAGUCCAAGCCCCAGGAAACUCUCGGGCCAUCUCAGCCAAAGUCUUGAGUUAUGCUUGUUAUAUCUGUGCUAUUACUUUCCCAGGCUCUCAAUCACAAAACACUUACACUGGCUCUUAGAACAGUUAGGCGAUACAUAUUUGAGGUCAAAUUAAAAAUUAAUAAAUGGAACCACUAGGGCAAGUGCCGAUCGAGGGUUUUAUCAGGUCAUAACUGUAUAAUACCGGCUUCAGCAUAAUGAAUUCCAGUCACUGAAGCUCUAUAUUCUUCUUAGAAAAAAAAUGCUGGCCUAGAUUCUUUAUGUGGCGGAGAUGGGAAAUGACCCGUUGAAUUUAACACCACCGACACUGAAAGGAAGUGUCCUGACGGUGACUCCUCCCUAGUGCUGCAUACUGCCCAAACUAUGAUCAAGAUCAGGAAAGGGAGUCACCUGCAAGCUGCCUUAAAUACAGAACCUCCCCUACUUGCAUUCAUUCCUUCCAUCUCCACUUCAACCUCUUCCUGUAUUGUUUCACUUGAAGACUCACUUGCUCCCUUGUUCUCUCCCCCUCCAUGCCCUACUGUCAUUUUGAUGUUUUCACCCACUCCCACCAUUCAUCUUCUAAUGUGGUUAGCAUGAUACGUCUAAAACAAUAAAGAAUGCAGGUUA